UCGUGGCCCAGUGGGUAGAGUGAUGCACUUGGAGUUUGGCGUGAGGGAAGUGAGGGGCGCGUAGGUUCGAACCCCCCUCUCGGAACUCACAAAAACCUUCAAAGAGCAUCCCUCCAUCACCAUGUGUGCCUCAAACACACAGGUACGGUGAUGGAGCUGCCCACGGGGAGGAGGGGAGGUGAGUGCGCAGCACCUCCCUACCCCUCCCCAGGGGAGGAAGGCACCGCCUUACCGCCCCCGGGAGAGCAAGGGAGGUGAGUGCACAGCGCUUCCCUUCUCUCCCCUACCUAACCCUGGCAAGUCUACGGACUACCAGGCAAAAAAUAAUAAAAACAAAAAAAAAAAUAAAAAAAUAAAAAAAUAAAAAAAUAAAAAAUAAAUAAAAAUAAAGAUAAGUGCAUAGCAUUUCCCUUCUCUCCACCUAACAGAAAAAAAUAAUAAUAAUAAAAAUUAAGGUGAGUGCAUAGCAGUUCCCUUCUCUCCCAACCUUCCACGCAAAAAAAAAAUAAAUAAAUAAAUGAAAUAAAAUAAAAUAAAAUAAAUAAAUAAAUAAGGCAAAUAAGUAAAUAAAUGAAUAAAAUAAAAAUAAAAACCUCCCUACCACCUCGGACCUCGGGAGAGCAAGAGAGGUGAGUGCACAGCACUUCCCUUCUCUCCCCAAGUCUACGGACUACCACACCAAAAAGAAUAAAAUAUAUAUAGGUAUAAAGAAAAGAACAAUAAAAUAAAUAGAAAAUAAAAUAAAAUAGAUAAAUAAAAUAAAAUUAACAAAAAAUAAAUAAAGUAAAAAACAUAAAACUCCUACUCCCCCCGUCAAUAAAAGUGACUGAGUCUGGCAAUCAACAAUAAAUAAUAAAAAUAAAUCAAUACCAACCUGACUGAUCCUGACAACUCCAAAGACCACCACCCCACCUGUGAAGCACGGGAGGUGAGUGUGCAGCACCUCCCUACCCUUCCCAGUCUCCCAGUUUGACUUUGACCAACAAUCUGACUCAUUCUGGCAACUCCAACUGUACAGACCACCACCAGUACUCCAGUACUCCCCACCCUGGCAACUGAUCCUGGCAAGGUGAGUGCGUAGCACUUCCCGUGACUCAUCCUGGUAUGCACGGGAGGUGAGUGUGCAGCACCUCCCUACCCUUCCCAGUCUCCCAUCAAUCUGACUCAUCCUACCAACUCCAAAGAGCAACUCCAACUGUACAGACCACCACCACCACCACCCCUCUGAUCUUGGCAAGGUGAGUGCGUAGCACUUCCCUUGUCUGACCCUGACUGACUGACCCUGGCAGCUCAAAAAAACAAACAACCUGCCUGAUUUACAGAUAUGUAAUCACCAAACUGACUGGCCCUGGGGAGCAUGUGAGGUGAGUGUGCAGCACCUCCCUACACUUCCCAGUCUCCCAGUUUGACCUUACUCAUCCUGGCAACUUCUAAGAGCAACUCUCUGACACUGUGACUCUGAUCCCUACAUCCCUACAUCUUACCCUGUCCAGGGUAGGUGAGUGCGUAGCACUUCCCUACCACCAGCCUGACUGACCCUGGCAACUCUAAAAACAACCAUCCUGACUGACUUACAAAUCUUACUCUAAUCUGGCAACAGACCACCAAAUUGACUGACCGUGGGGAGCAUGGGAGGUGAGUGUGCAGCACCUCCCUACCCUUCCCAGUCUCCCAGUUUGACUUCCACCACCAAUGUGACUCAUCCUACCAGCUCCAAAUCUACCACCACCACCACCCCUCUGAUCUUGGCAAGGUGAGUGCGUAGCACUUCCCUGGGCUUGACUGAUCCUGGCAACUCCAAAAAUAACCAACCUGACAGAUGUUACAAAUGUAACCUGGGGAGCAUGGGAGGUGAGUGUGCAGCACCUCCCUACCCUUCCCAGUCUUCCACCAACUUGACUUGAAUUAUGACUGGGGAGCAUGGGAGGUGAGUGUGCAGCACCUACCUACCCUUCCCAGUCUUCCACCAACUUGACUUGAAUUA